AUGUUCUUGACUCAUGACAUUACCCAAAAUAGGAGGGAUCCUUACCCGCAGCUUCAUUAUUUAUCCAGCACACGCGAGUCCCCUGUUUGGAGGCCAGUUGUCGUUUUCGGCCUCAAGCCUGCUCACGGGCUGGGAGGGCAAGACGCGGAAUCACCAUGCCGACUCCAAGGAGGUUUCUGGAACACUUCUGCUUUAUUCAGGAAUUGCACAGGCUUGUAUAGGGUGGAUGGAAAAGAGACCAAGAGAAAAAAAUCAGUAAUUUAA
rnacentral:lncRNA from 1 species